ACAGAGGUGGCAAGCGUUGUUCGGAAUUACUGGGCGUAAAGGGCGCGUAGGCGGUCUUGUCAGUCCCUUGUGAAAUCCCCCGGCUCAACUGGGGAACUGCACGGGAAACAGCAGGGCUUGAGUUCGGGAGAGGGAAGCGGAAUUCCGGGUGUAGCGGUGAAAUUCGUAGAUAUUCGGAAGAACACCAGUGGCGAAGGCGACUCACUGGACACAUAUUGACGCUGAGGUGCGAAAGCGUGGGGAGCAAACAGGA
rnacentral:rRNA from 1 species